GACAGAGGAGCCAAGCGUUGUCCGGAUUGACUGGGCGUAAAGCGCACGCAGGCGGCUCUGUGCGUGGGGUGUGAAAGCUCUUGGCUUAACUAAGAGAGGCCAUCCCAUACGGCAGAGCUCGAGCCAUGCAGAGGUCCGCGGAAUUGCCGGUGUAGUGGUGAAAUGCGUAGAGAUCGGCAGGAACACCCAGGGGGAAACCAGCGGACUGGGCAUGAGCUGACGCUCAGGUGCGACAGCGUGGGGAGCGAACCAG
rnacentral:rRNA from 1 species